rnacentral:sRNA from 1 species
AAAAAAGUGACAAUGAAGAUAAGGAAGAGACGGAAUUGGGCGUCAUGGAGGAUCAGCGUAGUAUAAUUCUUCAUCUCAUUUCACAACUCAAACUUGGAAUGGAUUUGACCAAGAAGUGGAACCAACUCUUCUUGGUGCUGAGUGCAGGCAGGAUGCUUCCUGAGGAACCUCACCAAGAGAACCAGUGUCCUGACCACUAAUGUCAUGGAGAGGGUCCCAUAGACGUCACCCCUCACCUCUAGUCAGUAGCUUCAUUCUAGAGAAUCAUGAAUGACAGAGGAAAGAGAUUGUAAGAGAAAUUGAAAUUGCCAAGGUCAGAUAUGGAGAAGCAAGAAAAUGCUGAGGGGACUAUAUUAUGGCAAGCUGAGUGUCUGAGCAACUUCAUGUUAUUCCUGUCUUGCUCUAAAAUAAAGAAAUAUCACAACUGUGC